GUUAUUAUGGCUUAAACUAAUCUAAUAUUAUCUCUGCCACUUCUACUCUCACGUCUCCAACUCACGGUUUUCCAUCUUUGCGCAUUGAAAGAAAUUAUGAAGAAAGAAAAAAAUGCAAGCCUUAUCCUCUGUUAGCAGUAACUUUCUCUCCCUCCUCUUCCUCUCUCUCACGACACCCUCUGUUUGUAAACUAUAAGGAGAUGAACAUAGGGUUAGAGGCAGAGAGCACAAUGAAGAGGAAGAUGUGAACCCCUAAGAAGAUACAAGUAAAGAAUUGAUUGAAUCAGUGGAGAAGAUCUUUCAGAAUCAAUGUCUUCCGGGAUGGAGAUAUCAGGUGACGAUAAGGACCAUCGUGGUAUUAAAGUUCUUUGAACUUAAGGUUUAUUUUCGGAGUGUUCCAAACCCCGUCCUUGUUCUCACAUCCCGGUUUUGGAAAAUAGUUAUGGCGGCAGAAGGAUUCUUGGUAGCUUGGGGUUAUGUAUUGAAGAAGAAUGGAUUCGGUGGACUGCGUAAACGAUUCAAGGACCAUGUUAUUUUCAGUCUUUUAAUUAUGUUUCUAUUUAUUUUCCGCACUUAGUUUUGUAACAAAAUUUAUUUAACUUUAAAGUUAUGUUUUAUUUUCAAACAAUGGGAUCCCAUACCCCUGAAUUUAUGUAUUUUAACAUUUACUUAGAGUUUUUAAUAAAGUUUAUGAAUGUUUCUUAUG